CAAAACCGCAUGAAAAAUGUAAAGCGUUAUGUGGAUCGAACAUUAGUAGAGAAGCGUGUGAGCCAGCUGCCAAGAAAAGCCGCUAUUGCUUCAUAAGUACCCGUACCGUAAACCGACACAGGUGGAUGAGGAGAGAAUCCUAAGGCCGGCGGGAGAAGUGUUGUUAAGGAACUCGGCAAAAUGACUCCGUAACUUCGGGAGAAGGAGUGCCACAGAGAUGUGGCCGCAGAGAAAUGGCCCAAGCAACUGUUUAGCAAAAACACAGGUCUAUGCAAAACCGAAAGGUGAGGUAUAUGGGCUGACGCCUGCCCGGUGCUGGAAGGUUAAGAGGAGAGGUUAGAGCAAUCGAAGCUUUGAAUUUAAGCCCCAGUAAACGGCGGCCGUAACAAUAACGGUCCUAAGGUAGCGAAAUUCCUUGUCGGGUAAGUUCCGACCCGCACGAAAGGCGUAAUGAUUUGGGCACUGUCUCAACAACACACCCGGUGAAAUUGAAAUACCAGUGAAGAUGCUGGUUACCUGCGCCAGGACGGAAAGACCCCAUGGAGCUUUACUCCAGUUUGAUACUGGGAUUCGGUACUGUCUGUACAGGAUAGGUGGGAGGCUAGGAAAUGGUGACGCCAGUUGCCAUGGAGCCAACCUUGGGAUACCACCCUUACAGUACUGGGUUUCUAACCUGCAGCCGUAACCCGGCUGGGGGACAAUGUCUGACGGGGAGUUUGACUGGGGCGGUCGCCUCCGAAAGAGUAUCGGAGGCGCUCAAAGGUUCCCUCAGAACGGUUGGAAACCGUUCGAAGAGUGCAAAGGCAGAAGGGAGCUUGACUGCGACACCGACGGGUGGAGCAGAUACGAAAGUAGGACUUAGUGAUCCGGUGGUAUAAAGUGGGAUUGCCAUCGCUCAACGGAUAAAAGCUACCCUGGGAUAACAGGCUUAUCACUCCCAAGAGUUCACAUCGACGGAGUGGUUUGGCACCUUGAUGUCGGCUCAUCGCAUCCUGGAGCUGUAGCAGGUUCCAAGGGUUGGGCUGUUCGCCCAUUAAAGCGGUACGCGAGCUGGGUUCAGAACGUCGUGAGACAGUUCGGUCCCUAUCCGGCGUGGGCGUAGGAUAUUUGAGAGGAGCUGUCCUUAGUACGAGAGGACCGGGAUGGACAAACCUCUGGUGUAUCUGUUGUUUUACCAAAGGCAUGGCAGAGUAGCCAAGUUUGGCAGGGAUAAACGCUGAAGGCAUCUAAGCGUGAAGCCCCCCUCAAGAUAAGAUAUCCCAUCUUCGGAGUAAGACCCCUUGAAGACUACAAGGUUGAUAGGCUUUGUGUGUAAGUGCGGUAACGCACUCAGCUGAGAAGUACUAAUAGGUCGAGGACUUAUC
rnacentral:rRNA from 1 species